rnacentral:misc_RNA from 1 species
GAUGAAGAACGCAGGGAAAUGCGAUAAGUAAUGUGAAUUGCAGAAUUCAGUGAAUCAUCGAAUCUUUGAACGCACAUUGCGCCCGCCAGUAUUCUGGCGGGCAUGCCUGUUCGAGCGUCAUUUCAACCCUCAAGCCCAGCUUGGUGUUGGGGAUCGGCACAGGCGCCCUCGGGCGCCCGCCGUCCCCUAAAUCUAGUGGCGGUCCCGCUGCAGCCUCCUCUGCGUAGUAGUUUUCUCCUCGCAAGGGCAGCUCGGUGGCGACCUCGCCGUAAAACCCCCAACUUCUGAAAGGUUGACCUCGAAUCAGGUAGGAAUACCCGCUGAACUUAAGCAUAUCAAUAAGCGGAGGA